GUAGUCUGCAACCCGACUACAUGAAGCUGGAAUCGCUAGUAAUCGCAGAUCAGAAUGCUGCGGUGAAUACGUUCCCGGGUCUUGUACACACCGCCCGUCACACCAUGGGAGUCGGAAAUGCCCGAAGCCAGUGACCCAACCUUAAGGAGGGAGCUGUCGAAGGUGGAGCCGGUAACUGGGGUGAAGUCGUAACAAGGUACC
rnacentral:rRNA from 1 species